CCUACGGUAGGCUGCAGUGAGGAAUAUUGGUCACUGGGCGCGAGCCUGAACCAGCCAAGUCGCGUGAGGGAUGACGGUCCUCCGGAUUGUAAACCUCUUUUGCCGGGGAGCAAGCGUGCGUUCGUGACCGCGCGUCGAGAGUACCCGGCGAAAAAGCAUCGGCUAACUCCGUGCCAGCAGCCGCGGUACUACGGAGGAUGCGAGCGUUAUCCGGAUUUAUUGGGUUUAAGGGGUGCGUAGGCGGGAUGCCAAGUCUGCGGUAAAAAUGCGGUGCUCAACGCCGUCGAGCCGUUGAAACUGGCGUUCGUGAGUGGGCGAGAAGUAUGCGGAAUGCGUGGUGUAGCGGUGAAAUGCAUAGAUAUCACGCAGAACUCCGAUGGCGAAGGCAGCCUACUAAACGGCCACUGACAUUGAUGCUCGAAAGUGUGGGUAUCAAACAGGAUUAGAUACCCCAGUAGUC
rnacentral:rRNA from 1 species